rnacentral:rRNA from 1 species
GGGGGGAUUCGGUGAUCCUAUGCUGCCGAGAAAAGCAUCGACGCGAGGUUUUAGCCGCCCGUACCCCAAACCGACACAGGUGAUCAGGUAGAGAAUACUAAGGCGAUCGAGAGAAUUAUGGUUAAGGAACUCGGCAAAAUGCCCCCGUAACUUCGGGAGAAGGGGGGCCCCAACCUUGAACACCACACGCUGGUGGGAGGGGAUCGGGGCCGCAGAGACCAGGGGGAAGCGACUGUUUACUAAAAACACAGGUCCGUGCGAAGUCGCAAGACGAUGUAUACGGACUGACUCCUGCCCGGUGCUGGAAGGUUAAGAGGACCGGUUAGCCGCAAGGCGAAGCUGAGAAUUUAAGCCCCAGUAAACGGCGGUGGUAACUAUAACCAUCCUAAGGUAGCGAAAUUCCUUGUCGGGUAAGUUCCGACCUGCACGAAUGGAGUAACGACUUCCCCGCUGUCUCAACCAUAAACUCGGCGAAAUUGCAGUACGAGUAAAGAUGCUCGUUACGCGCAGCAGGACGGAAAGACCCCGAGACCUUUACUAUAGUUUGGUAUUGGUGUUCGGAGUGGCUUGUGUAGGAUAGGUGGGAGACGUUGAAGCCCGGACGCCAGUUCGGGUGGAGUCAUCGUUGAAAUACCACUCUGGUCACUUUGGACAUCUAACUUCGGCCCGUAAUCCGGGUCAGGGACAGUGCCUGAUGGGUAGUUUAACUGGGGCGGUUGCCUCCUAAAAAGUAACGGAGGCGCCCAAAGGUUCCCUCAGCCUGGUUGGCAAUCAGGUGUCGAGUGUAAGUGCACAAGGGAGCUUGACUGUGAGAGAGACAUCUCGAGCAGGGACGAAAGUCGGGACUAGUGAUCCGGCGGUACAUUGUGGAAUGGCCGUCGCUCAACGGAUAAAAGGUACCUCGGGGAUAACAGGCUGAUCUUGCCCAAGAGUCCAUAUCGACGGCAUGGUUUGGCACCUCGAUGUCGGCUCGUCGCAUCCUGGGGCUGGAGUAGGUCCCAAGGGUUGGGCUGUUCGCCCAUUAAAGCGGUACGCGAGCUGGGUUUAGAACGUCGUGAGACAGUUCGGUCCCUAUCCGCUGCGCGCGCAGGAAAUUUGAGAAGGGCUGUCCUUAGUACGAGAGGACCGGGACGGACGAACCUCUGGUGUGUCAGUUGUACUGCCAAGUGCACCGCUGAUUAGCUACGUUCGGAUGGGAUAACCGCUGAAAGCAUCUAAGCGGGAAGCUCGCUUCGAGAUGAGAUUUCCAUACACCUUGUGUGUGAGAGGCCCCCAGCCAGACCACUGGGUUGAUAGGCCGGAUGUGGAAGCGAGGACUAACGACUCGUGAAGCUGACCGGUACUAAUAGGCCGAUAACUUACAC